rnacentral:rRNA from 1 species
AGAGUUUGAUCAUGGCUCAGAUUGAACGCUGGCGGCAGGCCUAACACAUGCAAGUCGAGCGGUAGCACAGAGAGCUUGCUCUCGGGUGACGAGCGGCGGACGGGUGAGUAAUGUCUGGGAAACUGCCUGAUGGAGGGGGAUAACUACUGGAAACGGUAGCUAAUACCGCAUAACGUCGCAAGACCAAAGUGGGGGACCUUCGGGCCUCAUGCCAUCAGAUGUGCCCAGAUGGGAUUAGCUGGUAGGUGGGGUAACGGCUCACCUAGGCGACGAUCCCUAGCUGGUCUGAGAGGAUGACCAGCCACACUGGAACUGAGACACGGUCCAGACUCCUACGGGAGGCAGCAGUGGGGAAUAUUGCACAAUGGGCGCAAGCCUGAUGCAGCCAUGCCGCGUGUGUGAAGAAGGCCUUCGGGUUGUAAAGCACUUUCAGCGGGGAGGAAGGCGAUAAGGUUAAUAACCUUGUCGAUUGACGUUACCCGCAGAAGAAGCACCGGCUAACUCCGUGCCAGCAGCCGCGGUAAUACGGAGGGUGCAAGCGUUAAUCGGAAUUACUGGGCGUAAAGCGCACGCAGGCGGUCUGUCAAGUCGGAUGUGAAAUCCCCGGGCUCAACCUGGGAACUGCAUUCGAAACUGGCAGGCUAGAGUCUUGUAGAGGGGGGUGGAAUUCCAGGUGUAGCGGUGAAAUGCGUAGAGAUCUGGAGGAAUACCGGUGGCGAAGGCGGCCCCCUGGACAAAGACUGACGCUCAGGUGCGAAAGCGUGGGGAGCAAACAGGAUUAGAUACCCUGGUAGUCCACGCUGUAAACGAUGUCGAUUUGGAGGUUGUGCCCUUGAGGCGUGGCUUCCGGAGCUAACGCGUUAAAUCGACCGCCUGGGGAGUACGGCCGCAAGGUUAAAACUCAAAUGAAUUGACGGGGGCCCGCACAAGCGGUGGAGCAUGUGGUUUAAUUCGAUGCAACGCGAAGAACCUUACCUGGUCUUGACAUCCACAGAACUUAGCAGAGAUGCUUUGGUGCCUUCGGGAACUGUGAGACAGGUGCUGCAUGGCUGUCGUCAGCUCGUGUUGUGAAAUGUUGGGUUAAGUCCCGCAACGAGCGCAACCCUUAUCCUUUGUUGCCAGCGGUUAGGCCGGGAACUCAAAGGAGACUGCCAGUGAUAAACUGGAGGAAGGUGGGGAUGACGUCAAGUCAUCAUGGCCCUUACGACCAGGGCUACACACGUGCUACAAUGGCAUAUACAAAGAGAAGCGACCUCGCGAGAGCAAGCGGACCUCAUAAAGUAUGUCGUAGUCCGGAUUGGAGUCUGCAACUCGACUCCAUGAAGUCGGAAUCGCUAGUAAUCGUAGAUCAGAAUGCUACGGUGAAUACGUUCCCGGGCCUUGUACACACCGCCCGUCACACCAUGGGAGUGGGUUGCAAAAGAAGUAGGUAGCUUAACCUUCGGGAGGGCGCUUACCACUUUGUGAUUCAUGACUGGGGUGAAGUCGUAACAAGGUAACCGUAGGGGAACCUGCGGUUGGAUCACCU